GCCGCAGUGCUGGAAUGGCAGACAGGCACGGCUUAGAACCGUGUGGGAGAAAUCCCAUGGAGGUUCAAAUCCUCCCUGCGGCA
rnacentral:tRNA from 2 species